GCUAUAUUCCUCCAUGUAUUUUACACCAAUUUGACUCCCAGAGAUGAUGGAGGAGAAGGAGACAGAGGCAGGAAGAAAAAGCUGGGAUUCACUGUGCCUGUCCAGAUCUACAUUUUUGGUCCUGUCCAUAGAUGACGGUGUUAUUUAUGCCACCAAAAAGACAGGUUUCGGGGAUUUCAUCACUGAUGCAGCGGAACAAAAAAUAACUCACAGAAAGGUCCUGAACAGGGAAAUGGUCAGCAAGGAAAACAAAAAACAGUUCCCAUCAAAAACUAAAAACAACAAAAAACAACAAAAACAAAAACCUUUUGACUUUAUUAUUAUUAUUAUUAUUAUUAUUAUUAUUAUUAUUAUUAUUAUUAUUAUUAUUUCUUGCUGCAGUGCUAUUUACAAAUCGUGUGGUUUGUCCUGGAUGAAAAAAAGAAAAGAGAAAAAAAGCCAGUUAAAUGUUGCACAGGAAAAGAAAUCUUCUACAGUUAUGUUUUAAAAUGAAUGUUAACAGGAACAACAACUGUAGCCAUUCGUAUUUUCUCAGUCACAAGGUUAUUAGAUGCUAGUAGCAUGAGAUGUACAGCUGGAGGAAAAAAAGAAAAUCAAAGAAGAGUUGUUUUAAAAUGCAAAAAGCUUUUGUACAUGGGGGCUGCCAAAUCAGAUUAGUGCAAACUCUUGGCCCACAAAAUUUAAAACUGGUUCUUUUUCACUGUACACAGAAUGCAGAAAAGCCCUUUGAGGACUACAGAUAACUCUUGGGCUUCACUAUGGGCAUGCCUGAUCCUGAACCAGUGUAGUCAAGGGCACUUCUAAAGAAAUUUUAUAACCUUUCAACAUUUCAGNCAGUAGUGGUCAGUGCUGUGAGUACAGCUAGAAGCUCCUCACCCUGCUGAAAGCUGGUUUGUGAGUUUCUUUGGAGUCCUUGUGGAAGUGCUGUAUGAACUUCAAAGAAGGUUCAUAAUCUGGCUUUCAGCAGGGAAAAGGACUUCUGGAGGCCCUCACGCAUGUUGGCCACCAAGGAAACAUUUUUUUAGGACAAGGACAAGCUGAUGUUGGGUGGCAACAACUACAGUCUUGUAAAUCUUGUAGAGCCUUUGGAGAUCUGUGGUAUAUACUGUAUAUCCAAUAAAUAAAUAAAUUGUGUUAGAGCA
rnacentral:lncRNA from 1 species